rnacentral:rRNA from 1 species
AGAACGAACGCUGGCGGCGUGGAUAAGACAUGCUAAGUCGAACGGGACAUUUCCGGUAGCAAUAUUGGAGAUGUUCAGUGGCGAAAGGGUGCGUAACACGUGGGCAACCUGCCGGGAAGUGGGGGAUAGCUCGCCCGAAAGGCGAAUUAAUACCGCAUAUGGCCAGGAAAGACAUCUUUCCAACGCCAAAGCUGGGGCAACCUAGCGCUU